UACGUAGGUGGCAAGCGUUAUCCGGAAUUACUGGGCGUAAAGCGCACGCAGGCGGUCUUUUAAGUUUGACGUGAAAGCUCCCGGCUUAACUGGGAGAGGUCGUUGAAGACUGGAAGACUUGAGGCAAUGAGAGGGGUGUAGAAUUCCCGGUGCAGUGGUGGAAUGCGUAGAUAUCGGGGGGAAUACCAGUGGCGAAAGCGGCACCCUAGCGUUAGCCUGACGCUCAUGUGCGAAAGCGUGGGGAGCGAACGGG
rnacentral:rRNA from 1 species